rnacentral:rRNA from 1 species
GCUCAGAUGAACGCUAGCUACAGGCUUAACACAUGCAAGUCGAGGGGCAGCAUCAUCAAAGCUUGCUUUGAUGGAUGGCGACCGGCGCACGGGUGAGUAACACGUAUCCAACCUGCCGACAACACUGGGAUAGCCUUUCGAAAGAAAGAUUAAUACCGGAUGGCAUAGUCUUCCCGCAUGGGAUGAUUAUUAAAGAAUUUCGGUUGUCGAUGGGGAUGCGUUCCAUUAGGCAGUUGGCGGGGUAACGGCCCACCAAACCUACGAUGGAUAGGGGUUCUGAGAGGAAGGUCCCCCACAUUGGAACUGAGACACGGUCCAAACUCCUACGGGAGGCAGCAGUGAGGAAUAUUGGUCAAUGGACGAGAGUCUGAACCAGCCAAGUAGCGUGAAGGAUGACUGCCCUAUGGGUUGUAAACUUCUUUUAUACGGGAAUAAAGUUAGCCACGUGUGGCUUUUUGUAUGUACCGUAUGAAUAAGGAUCGGCUAACUCCGUGCCAGCAGCCGCGGUAAUACGGAGGAUCCGAGCGUUAUCCGGAUUUAUUGGGUUUAAAGGGAGCGUAGGCGGGUUGUUAAGUCAGUUGUGAAAGUUUGCGGCUCAACCGUAAAAUUGCAGUUGAUACUGGCGACCUUGAGUGCAACAGAGGUAGGCGGAAUUCGUGGUGUAGCGGUGAAAUGCUUAGAUAUCACGAAGAACUCCGAUUGCGAAGGCAGCUUACUGGAUUGUAACUGACGCUGAUGCUCGAAAGUGUGGGUAUCAACAGGAU